UACAGAGGUCCCAAGCGUUGUUCGGAUUCACUGGGCGUAAAGGGUGCGUAGGCGGUCGGGUAAGUCUGAUGUGAAAUCUCACAGCUUAACUGUGAAACUGCAUUGGAUACUAUCCGGCUAGAGGAAUGGAGGGGAGACUGGAAUUCCUGGUGUAGCGGUGAAAUGCGCAGAUAUCGGGAGGAACACCGGUGGCGAAGGCGGUUCUCUGGGCCUGUACUGACGCUCAUGCACGAAAGCGUGGGGAGCAAACAGG
rnacentral:rRNA from 1 species